UUAGAUGCUGGGUCUGGACCAAGUUGGUUACCAUGCUAUGAGGAAAGGCCCAUGUGGCAAGGAAUUUGGCCUCCUGCCGCAAGCCAAUUAGGAACUGAGGCCUUCUGCAAUAACGAAACUCCAACACUUACUAUUCUCUUGGACCUCUUUGAUGUGAUAGAAGAGGAGUCUCAAAAUCAAAUGUCUUCUGUGGCCAGGAAGAUGAACUAAAUGUACUAAGCAAAAUCAUCUGAGUAAUCAGGCAAUAGAGAGAAUGAAAAAUGCAAAAAUGCAAAGAGCUAUAAAGUGAUACCAUGCCAAAAUGUAUUCACAUUCAAAUGUAUUUUUAACUGUCUCUGGAUCAAGUUUUCAGCCAGAUCUGUUCCUUACAUUAACAGUUUGGUUUACAGAAGAGAGCACGGUGGUUAAAAUCUACUGUGACAGUCAAAACAGACUCCAAGCUCCAGCUCUGCCACUUGCUGACUUUAGUAACACAGGCCUUGUCAUACGUGCAUUAAUGUGAGCCUUAGACCCCUUUCUAAUCAGAGGGUAAUAAUAGCAGCACUUCUGCAUAGGUCAUAAUAAAGACCAAAUAACUGGGUAACCUGUGUAAAUUGA